UACGGGGGGGAGCAAGCGUUGUUCGGAUUUACUGGGCGUAAAGGGCGCGUAGGCGGUCAGCACAAGUCAGUUGUGAAAUCUCCGGGCUUAACUCGGAAAGGUCAACUGAUACUGUGCGACUAGAGUGCAGAAGGGGCAACUGGAAUUCUCGGUGUAGCGGUGAAAUGCGUAGAUAUCGGGAGGAACACCAGUGGCGAAGGCGACUUCCUGGCCUGUUCUUGACGCUGAGGCGCGAAAGCUAGGGUAGCAAACGGG
rnacentral:rRNA from 1 species